rnacentral:rRNA from 1 species
GGAUUAGAUACCCUGGUAGUCCACGCAGUAAACGAUGAGUGCUAGUUGUCGGGACUUCGGUUUCGGUGGCGAAGCUAACGCGUUAAGCACUCCGCCUGGGGAGUACGGUCGCAAGACUAAAACUCAAAGGAAUUGACGGGGACCCGCACAAGCAGUGGAGCAUGUGGUUUAAUUCGAUGUUACGCGAAAAACCUUACCAGCUUUUGCAUCUCGAUCACCGGUUUAGAGAUAAACCUUCGGAGCAAUCCGGAUCGAUGACAGGUGUUGCAUGGCUGUCGUCAGCUCGUGUUG